UCUAGCAGUGAUGAUGCUCUUGCCCUCACUGAGAACAUGGUUCGAUAAUGAGAGCUUUUUGUAAGUACUCACUAGCUCUGAGCUGGG